AUUGAACGCUGGCGGCAGGCCUAACACAUGCAAGUCGAGCGGUUGAGGUAGCUUGCUACCGAUGCAGCGGCGAACGGGUGAGUAAUACAUGGGAAUCUGCCUGGUAGUGGGGGACAACGUCUCGAAAGGGACGCUAAUACCGCAUACGCCCUACGGGGGAAAGGGGGGGAUCUUCGGACCUCCCGCUAUCAGAUGAGCCCAUGUCAGAUGAGCUAGUUGGUAAGGUAAAGGCCUACCAAGGCGACGAUCUGUAACUGGUCUGAGAGGAUGAUCAGUCACACUGGAACUGAGACUCGGUCCAGACUCCUACGGGAGGCAGCAGUGGGGAAUAUUGGACAAUGGGCGCAAGCCUGAUCCAGCCAUGCCGCGUGUGUGAAGAAGGCCUUAGGGUUGUAAAGCACUUUCAGUGGGGAGAAAGGUAAUUCACUUAAUACGUGAGUUAAUUGAUGUUACCCACAGAAGAAGCACCGGCUAACUCCGUGCCAGCAGCCGCGGUAA
rnacentral:rRNA from 1 species